ACGGGUCCGCGUCCCAUCAGCUAGUUGGUGAGGUAAUGGCUCACCAAGGCGAAGACGGGUAGCUGGUCUGAGAGGAUGAUCAGCCACACUGGAACUGAGACACGGUCCAGACUCCUACGGGAGGCAGCAGUGGGGAAUAUUGCGCAAUGGGCGAAAGCCUGACGCAGCCACGCCGCGUGAGCGAUGAAGGUCUUCGGAUCGUAAAGCUCUGUGGGGGAGAAGAAGAAAGUCGGUGAAGAGCCGGCCCUGACGGUAUCCCCUUAGCAAGCACCGGCUAACUCCGUGCCAGCAGCCGCGGUAAUACGGAGGGUGCAAACGUUGCUCGGAAUCAUUGGGCGUAAAGCGCGCGUAGGCGGCUGAACAAGUUGGAUGUGAAAGCCCUGGGCUCAACCUAGGAUGUGCAUUCAAAACUGUUCGGCUUGAGUCUCGGAGGGGGUCAGAGAAUUCUCGGUGUAGAGGUGAAAUUCGUAGAUAUCGGGAG
rnacentral:rRNA from 1 species